rnacentral:rRNA from 1 species
CGUGUAGACGGGCAUGCAAGUCAGGCGUGAAAUCCCUGGGCUCAACCCAGGAAUUGCACUUGAAACUGCAUGUCUUGAGUAUCGGAGAGGAAAGCGGAAUUCCUGGUGUAGAGGUGAAAUUCGUAGAUAUCAGGAGGAACACCGGUGGCGAAGGCGGCUUUCUGGACGAUAACUGACGCUGAGACGCGAAAGCGUGGGAGCAAACA